AACGAACGCUGGCGGCAGGCCUAACACAUGCAAGUCGAGCGGACCCUUCGGGGUUAGCGGCGGACGGGUGAGUAACGCGUGGGAAUAUGCCCUUCUCUACGGAAUAGUCCUGGGAAACUGGGGGUAAUACCGUAUACGCCCUUUGGGGGGAAGAUUUAUCGGGGAAGGAUUAGCCCGCGUUGGAUUAGGUAGUUGGUGGGGUAAUGGCCUACCAAGCCGACGAUCCAUAGCUGGUUUGAGAGGAUGCUGAGCCACACUGGGACUGAGACACGGCCCAGACUCCUACGGGAGGCAGCAAUGGGGAAUCUUAGACAAUGGGUGCAACCCUGAUCUAGCCAUGCCGCUUGAGUGAUGAAGGCCUUAGGGUUGUAAAGCUCUUUCAGCUGGGAAGAUAAUGACGGUACCAGCAGAAGAAGCCCCGGACAACUCCGUGCCAGCCGCCGCCGUAAGAC
rnacentral:rRNA from 1 species